AAGAGUUAAGCCAUGCAUGUCUAAGUAUAAGCAAUUAUACCGCGAAACUGCGAAUGGCUCAUUAAAUCAGUUAUCGUUUAUUUGAUAGUACCUUACUACUUGGAUAACCGUGGUAAUUCUAGAGCUAAUACAUGCUAAAAAUCCCGACUUACGGAGGGAUGUAUUUAUUAGAUUAAAAACCAAUGCCCUUCGGGGCUCCUUGGUGAUUCAUAAUAACUUCUCGAAUCGCAUGGCCUUGCGCCGGCGAUGGUUCAUUCAAAUUUCUGCCCUAUCAACUUUCGAUGGCAGGGUCUUGGCCUGCCAUGGUUACAACGGGUAACGGAGGGUUAGGGCUCGACCCCGGAGAAGGAGCCUGAGAAACGGCUACUACAUCCAAGGAAGGCAGCAGGCGCGCAAAUUACCCAAUCCCGAUACGGGGAGGUAGUGACAAUAAAUACUGAUACAGGGCUCUUUUGGGUCUUGUAAUUGGAAUGAGUACAAUUUAAAUCCCUUAACGAGGAACAAAUGGAGGGCAANNNNNNNNNNNNNNNNNNNAUUCCAGCUCCAAUAGCGUAUAUUAAAGUUGUUGCAGUUAAAAAGCUCGUAGUUGAACCUUGGGCCUGGCUGGCCGGUCCGCCUCACCGCGUGCACUGGUUCGGCCGGGCCUUUCCCUCUGGGGAACCCCAUGCCCUUCACUGGGUGUGGUGGGGAACCAGAACUUUUACUGUGAAAAAAUUAGAGUGUUCAAAGCAGGCCUAUGCUCGAAUACAUUAGCAUGGAAUAAUAGAAUAGGACGUGUGGUUCUAUUUUGUUGGUUUCUAGGACCGCCGUAAUGAUUAAUAGGGACAGUCGGGGGCAUCAGUAUUCAAUUGUCAGAGGUGAAAUUCUUGGAUUUAUUGAAGACUAACUACUGCGAAAGCAUUUGCCAAGGAUGUUUUCAUUAAUCAGGAACGAAAGUUAGGGGAUCGAAGACGAUCAGAUACCGUCGUAGUCUUAACCAUAAACUAUGCCGACUAGGGAUCGGACGAUGUUAUUUUUUGACUCGUUCGGCACCUUACGAGAAAUCAAAGUCUUUGGGUUCUGGGGGGRRUAUUGYYG
rnacentral:rRNA from 1 species